ensembl:misc_RNA Metazoa_SRP Metazoan signal recognition particle RNA
GCCGGGCACGUUGGCGCGUGCCUGUAAUCCAAGUCACUGGGAGGCUGAGGUUGGCGGAUCGAGUGAGCUGAGGAGCUCUGGGCUGUAGCGUGCUAUGUCGAGCGGGUGUCCACACUAAGUUCGGUAUCGAUAUGGUGCUCCUGGGGGAGCCCAGGGCCACCAGGUCGCUUAAGGAGGGGUGCACCGGCCCAGGUCGGAAACGAAGCAGGUCAAAGCCCCCGUGCCAUCCAGUAGUGGGAUAGCGCCUGUGAGUAGCCGCUGCAGUGCAGCCGUAGCAAGACAUCGAAACCUAAUCUUUU